UGUGGAGAUGGGGAUGGUGAUCAUAUCCAUCAUCCGUCGUAUAAUCGUCAUACUCGUCUUCCUGCAUGGAGAUGCAGGAGCGGAUGGUCAUACUUUCAUCUGACGCCAUAUUAGUAUGUUGUUUCUCCCUCUCUCUCCCUCUCUCUCCCCUCUCUUCCUCUCUCCCUCAACAGACAGUUCGAAAGCAGUCAGGCCAAUUGGCCAAUUGGGUUAUAAUUUAAGUAAUAACAAAGUUUUGUUGUUUUUGUUUUGGUUAUCAGAAGAAGAGUAGAGUGAAGAAGAAUGGUGGUUUUAUUUAUAGGCAACAGAGUGCAAAGAUGAGUGUGUCGUUUGGGCUUUUGUGGAUCAUUCGUUUGCUCAAAUUCAUGAUAAGGUAAAGGUAGUCGGA
rnacentral:lncRNA from 1 species